UGGUCUUCAGGAGCCAGCUGUGCCUCUUAGACCUCUCAGUUACAACAAACCUGUGGCCUCUGCCCCACACCCCCGCACGCAGCUACAGUGUGAACGGAGAGGCUGCCUGCCCCGCCCUGGGAAGUCUCUUUCUCUUUCUUAACUGGUUCCCCAAGAUCAUGCCAGGGUCGAGCAGGGACACAGGCAGGGGCCCAAGGGUCUUGAACCGAGCUCUCCAGUGAACCUGACAACCCGGGACGUUGCUACAGAUAACAGAGUCACCAUGAGUGCUGGCUUUGACCCUGAUAUGAACACGG